rnacentral:rRNA from 1 species
GACGAACGCUGGCGGCGUGCUUAACACAUGCAAGUCGAACGGAAAGGCCCUGCUUUUGUGGGGUGCUCGAGUGGCGAACGGGUGAGUAACACGUGAGUAACCUGCCCUUUACUUUGGGAUAACUUCAGGAAACUGGGUCUAAUACCGGAUAGGAUCUCCUGCUGCAUGGUGGGGGUUGGAACGUUUCGGCGGUUGGGGAUGGACUCUCGGCUUAUCAGCUUGUUGGUGGGGUAGUGGCUUACCAAGGCUUUGACGGGUAGCCGGCCUGAGAGGGUGACCGGCCACAUUGGGACUGAGAUACGGCACAGACUCCUACGGGAGGCAGCAGUGGGGAAUAUUGCACAAUGGGCGGAAGCCUGAUGCAGGCACGCAGCGUGCGGGAUGACGGCCGUCGGGUUGUAACCCGCUUUCGACUGUGACGAAGCGUGAGUGACGGUAAUGGGUAAAGAAGCACCGGCUAACUACGUG